rnacentral:lncRNA from 1 species
AGUGCUGCUUUUUCACCGAAACAAAGCAGACAGCCUUUCCCAGCAGAGCGUGCAGGGUGGCUGUUGUGGGAGAGGUGAGGUUAUUCCUGAAAGGAGAAAGGUGCAGAGACCCGAGUGACUCCAGUGUGUUUGGGCAUUGCGCUCAAAACUAUGCAGCAGCCAGCCUUUCAGCAAGGGUAGAGCACAGAGGGGCAAUAGAGCUGUUGUUCUGUGUGCCAGGCUUAGAGGCCUGGACAGUUUGCAGCAAUUCUUCCCAAGGCUGCAAUAGAGAAGUGACCUUUGGAAGGAGAUGUUGCCACUGUGAUCUGCUCUGAUCCUUAGCAGUGUGAGCUUAGAAAGUCGGCACAGAUGAAGUUACAGUUUAGUGUGAGGCUGAGUGCUUGGACCUGUUUCUUCCUUCUUUUAAGAGCAAUAUGUAUUUUGUAUCUAUUUUUAAGUUAAUCGGAAAUGUUAUUUAUAGUCGGUUGUGCACCUCUGUGUAUUCUGAAGUCUCACAGCACAGGACUGGGUGGGAAAACCUGAGAGACUGGAAAGAACGUGGAAGCGAUGGUUGAGGGAAAAAACAGAUGGCCAGUCUGCUCCAAAGGUCAGUCUGAAAGGAUUUCAGAGGCAAAUGGCAGACAGGCAGGAGUUUACACUGACUGGAGACACAGGGCAAAACCUGCCUAACUUAUGUACUCUAAUUAUGAUAUGAGAGAGUGAGAAUAAUUCAGUACUUUUCUUUGUGAACCAAGUUUGUUUUUUAACCUUAUUCAGCUCAGGAACAUUGCCACAGUAGCAAGUACAUGGUGUUCACUUCCUGAGAAAGCUGUGCAGCACCAUCUACACUUCCACAGAGCAUAGUUUAGUAGCAAUUUGCUUCUUUCUUUCUUCCUUUUUUUUUUUUUUUUUCUUUUCUGAAAUAUAAAUGUAUUGCAAACCCCAGGCUCUGCUGCCUUUGGCAUUUUAUCCUUGUUCAUCCUCUCAAUACGUCAGCUGCUUUUAUUAGCUACCGAGACAAUUUCCGUUGAGAGACCUGAGGGGCUUUUAUUUAUCACCAAGCACAAAGAAGGGUCUUUUUUCAACAAUGUUGAGAUUACCCCCCUGCUCGUGCCCCUGUUUUUUAUGCAUGUGAUGUGCACACUGUAAUGUGCUUUCCUCCUAUUAACAUUCUGAGAACAGUAGGUAGUUUUGCUUUUAUGUGACGUACAAAUAUAUCCGUAUUGCACUGAGAUAUGCAUAUAUAUAUACACAGACAUAUAGCCCCUUAGGGAUUUCCUUUUCUUAGAUGCAAAAUAACAGAUUUACCUCAAUUUGCAUGCUUUCAAAACUGAAUAGGAUAUUGUGUUAUACUUUUCAGGUCUUACGAAGAUGCAGAUAUGUUUCACUCUUCACACAAAAAUACCUUCAUCACAGAUUUUGCAAGCUGUGUACUACAAUCCAUGUACUGCUGUCUGGAGUUUUGUCGGUUGUUCUGCUGGAAUACGUGCAAUAAUAAACAG